UACGUAGGGUGCGAGCGUUGUCCGGAAUUAUUGGGCGUAAAGGGCUCGUAGGCGGUCUGUCGCGUCGGGAGUGAAAACUCAUGGCUUAACCCUGAGCCUGCUUCCGAUACGGGCAGACUAGAGGUAUGCAGGGGGAGAACGGAAUUCCUGGUGUAGCGGUGAAAUGCGCAGAUAUCAGGAGGAACACCGGUGGCGAAGGCGGUUCUCUGGGCAUUACCUGACGCUGAGGAGCGAAAGUGUGGGGAGCGAACAGG
rnacentral:rRNA from 1 species